UACCGAGGGUGCAAGCGUUAAUCGGAAUUACUGGGCGUAAAGCGUGCGUAGACGGUUAUUUAAGUCGGGUGUGAAAUCCCCGGGCUCAACCUGGGAAUUGCAUUCGAUACUGGAUAGCUAGAGUUCGGCAGAGGGAAGUGGAAUUUCCGGUGUAGCGGUGAAAUGCGUAGAUAUCGGAAGGAACAUCAGUGGCGAAAGCGACUUCCUGGACCAGAACUGACGUUCAGGCACGAAAGCGUGGGGAGCAAACAGG
rnacentral:rRNA from 1 species